rnacentral:misc_RNA from 1 species
GGGGAUCAAAGGGCACUGCAAAUGCCGUGUUCCUUCUUCAAUGCUCACAAAAUAUUUUCAACGCCCUAAACCUAAAAGCUCAACCGCCUCUCUUUGUCCUUUCCUGCUUCUCUCUUUUCUUUUGCGUCUUCCAAACAUGGUCGCAAUCGCAUCAUCAGCGGCUAUCCUCUUACUACUUCUUCUCUUCAUCGCUGGUUUCCUCAAUAUUUACUUCGAUGUGCCUUCCAAGAAGCUGUUUUCUUGGCUCCAUUCUUUUCUCUUAAAGAAUCCUUCAGCUUCUGCCAAAGUCUCUCCCCAGAAAGAGAGGACAAGGACAGCUACUUCUUGUAAUAACAGUGCCAAGGGAGAGCUUAAGAGUGUGUUUGCUACCUUUGAC